GGCCUUAAACCGCCAUGGACAGCAGCUGCAGAAAAUGGGUAUGGCAGCCCAUGUUUGGCCCGUUUUGGCCGCCUUCCCGAGCCCGGAUGCUCGGCCCGCUUUGAGGAAAGUCGAUCCUCGCGUCGUCCCCGUCGUUUUGGUCCGCUUGGCUCGCUAAUCCGGUGAGUUUAACUCACUAAAUCUUGAUUAGAGUGUUAAUGAUGUCAUAAGUGUGCUUAGUUUAAAUUAAGUAAGUUUAGGUGUGUGGAUUAGUGCAUUUAAUUAUAAAUUGGAUUAAGAUGUUGGUUUAUGUUAAAGUGUGUUUAAAUUAAAGGUUAAAAGAAGUUAUUUAAAGUUAAGCCUUGAUGUGACACAAAAUGAUUUUAGUUUUGAAUUAUUUAAGUGCUUCGAAAUUCUGGAAAAUAUAAUAUUAUAUUAUAAUCCGAAAUUAUUAAAAUAUUAUUUAUUUAUAAAAAAAAUCAGAAAAAUUAUUUUUGACCCCGGUUGCUCAGAAUUUCGUGCCGGUCGUUACGGUACAUUCAGAUUUUGAAAUUGAUGAUUGGAUAUUAUAAAUUGAGUGUGGAUCGUGAAAAAUAUGAAUAUUAUUAUUUAAUUAUUUUCGGAAUAAAUUUAAUUAUUUAAUAAAUUUCGAAAAUUUUGUCAGGACCCUAGUUGCUCAGAAUUUCGUGCCGAUCGUGGCUGUGCUUGUAGAAUUUGAAAUUGAUGAUUGGUUGUGGCGAAUUGAAUGUGCUUUCGAUUUAUGAGGAUUCUUUAUAAAAUCCUAAGUGUAGAAAUUGAUGGGAGAUUGGCCGUGAUGAACCACCUAUUAGAGGUCGUGUCUAGUGAGGCCGUGAUAAACCACCUAUGAGAGAUCGUGCCCAGUGAGGCCGUGAUGAACCACCUAUUAGAGGUCGUGCCCAGUGAGGCCGUGAUAAACCACCUAUGAGAGGUCGUGCUCAGUGAGGCCGUGAUAAACCACCUAUGAGAGGUCGUGCCCAAUGAGGCCGUGAUAAACCACCUAUGAGAGGUUGUGCCCAGUGAGGCCGUGAUUAACCACCUAUUAGAGGUCGUGCCUGAUGAGGCCGUGAAUUACCACCUGAUUACAGGUCGUGCCGAGUGGGGCCGUGAUUGUCACUGGUUAUUAAAUCUUCCUAUCAGGUCGAGAUGGGUAGUAGUAAUUGAUUUGCUAGAAUGACAUGUAAUCGGCCGAGUCGAUUGAUCGCUGAGAUGAUCCAAGUGGUUGAAUUGUUUUGAUAAGGUGAUUGAGCCAUGGUUGUUUGGUUAUCAUAAUUGUACGUGGUUGAAUUAUAUAAAUUGUGCUAACCUGCAGAUGAAGGCUGAGGCGAGGUAAGUCUUCUAUGUGAUGUGGCUACGCCGCCCGAGGUGUAUUUUCUUUCUAAUAGGGGUUUAGGGGGUUGAACUUGCUGAGACAUCGUCUCAUCCCGGUUGUGGGAUUAAAAUUUCAGGUCCCCGGUGGACGGAGUGGCCAGAUAGCUUUGGUUGGC
rnacentral:lncRNA from 1 species